CACACAGAUAUCUGUGUGAAGUGUUUUCGAUAUUUCCAAUUUCCUCUUCAUUAUCUCAAAUACACUCAUCUCUCUCUUCGAAUUUCUCUCUCAAAAUCCAUCUUUUCUAAUCUCUCCCUCAGACUAAUCUGACAUUGGACGGAGCAAUCCAAGCCCAGAAGCCGCUUCCGGUUCCGCCACCGACGAUGAGCGAGCCGCUCCUCCCGCCGCCGGUGCCACCCUCUGCGAACACGAUCCAUUGCUGACGAUCAUCACAACUCAACUCUACGAGUCGCUGGAAUGCAAGUUUCAGAUUCGCCACUAAGCAAAAACUAGCAGAAGCUAUAGAGCCCAGCGCAUGGUUUUUUCAAUAUUUUAUCUACUCAGUUUCUUCAACUUCCCCGUCUUUGAAUAUGCAAUUCCAUGUGCUUUCUGCUAUAUGUUUGUGUGCUCACGGGCCAUUUUGAGUAUAUAUGAUCCUACAACUCAUAUAUGUUUUUCAAGAUGUUAAACCCCCAGGUUCUCUUGACCUAUUUCUCUUCCAAUAUCCUUCAUUUUGGAUUUGAAUCAUUAUGGGUCUUCCACAUCAAGCCAUAACCCUUUGGAUCCAACACUUUGAACUAGCGGUCAAAGCAAUCCUUGAAGAAAUUAUGCGAACAAGCGACAGGCUUGGCAAUAGAGUUUUCUGGGUUCUGUGGCCACCUUAAGAUAGAACAAGUGGUGUUGGGAUGCUUAUAGCCCUCCAGAUCCUUCAUAUAUUCGAAAAUUUGUGUAAAUGAUCUGAGAAGCAGGAGUAGUGGCUUAUAUUGAAUGGUCGCAGCUCAGAUGAAUGGAUUGGGUCGCGUUUCUGAAGAUAUGGCAUCCAGCAGCACAAGCUGUAAUGGAAGUAGGAACUCUUCCUGCCCCAUGGAUUGGUGGUAUUGAUAUGGUGGUAUUGGGGAUGAAAAGGACAAAAAAUUGAGGGACCAAAAAAUAAAUAUGUAAAUAAUUUAAUAAAUAUACUUCGUACACAACACACAGAUUUUUUAUUUUUUUUUGUGAAAUAAUUGUUGGAGCUGUGAUUUAAGUGGGACCCACAAAAUAUAUUCACACGGACAAGAAAAAUCCGUAUUCUCUCCCUUGAACUUUCGUGCUCCGAAGUUCAUUCUGGUCAGCUGGGUUUGUCCUGCCUCACUGUGGUUGAAGGUUAAUACAGAUGGUUCUUUUGUGAGCUCGCUCUUAUUUCGCUUCUUUAAAAAAAAAAAAAACCAGUAAUACAUACGGAUUAUUAAUCCGUAAUAAUCCGUCGUUGUACCGUUUUUAUUAACGUUUUCACACGGAUUUCCGUAUGUAAUACUACGAUUUCACAUGGAUUCUCAUCCGUGUGUCA